GAUGAACGCUGGCGGCGUGCUUAACACAUGCAAGUCGAGCGAAGCAGUUAAGUUGAUUUCUUCGGAUUGAUUCUUAACUGACUGAGCGGCGGACGGGUGAGUAACGCGUGGGUGACCUGCCCCAUACCGGGGGAUAACAGCUGGAAACGGCUGCUAAUACCGCAUAAGCGCACAGAGCUGCAUGGCUCAGUGUGAAAAACUCCGGUGGUAUGGGAUGGGCCCGCGUCUGAUUAGGCAGUUGGCGGGGUAACGGCCCACCAAACCGACGAUCAGUAGCCGGCCUGAGAGGGCGACCGGCCACAUUGGGACUGAGACACGGCCCAAACUCCUACGGGAGGCAGCAGUGGGGAAUAUUGCACAAUGGGGGAAACCCUGAUGCAGCGACGCCGCGUGAGCGAAGAAGUAUUUCGGUAUGUAAAGCUCUAUCAGCAGGGAAGAUAAUGACGG
rnacentral:rRNA from 1 species